rnacentral:rRNA from 1 species
GAUGAACGCUGGCGGCGUGCCUAAUACAUGCAAGUCGAGCGAACAGACGAGGAGCUUGCUCCUCUGACGUUAGCGGCGGACGGGUGAGUCACACGUGGAUAACCUACCUAUAAGACUGGGAUAACUUCGGGAAACCGGAGCUAAUACCGGAUAAUAUAUUGAACCGCAUGGUUCAAUAGUGAAAGACGGUUUUGCUGUCACUUAUAGAUGGAUCCGCGCCGCAUUAGCUAGUUGGUAAGGUAACGGCUUACCAAGGCAACGAUGCGUAGCCGACCUGAGAGAGUGAUCGGCCACACUGGAACGGCAACACGGUCCAGAGUCCUACGGGAGGCAGCAGUAGGGAAUCUUCCGAAAUGGGCGAAAGCCUGACGGAGCAACGCCGCGUGAGUGAUGAAGGUCUUCGGAUCGUAAAACUCUGUUAUUAGGGAAGAACAAAUGUGUAAGUAACUAUGCACGUCUUGACGGUACCUAAUCAGAAAGCCACGGCUAACUACGUG